GUUUGAUCCUGGCUCAGGACGAACGCUGGCGGCGCGCCUAACACAUGCAAGUCGAACGGAACUGUUUUGGAGCUUGCUUCGAGACAGUUUAGUGGCGGACGGGUGAGUAACGCGUGAGUAACCUACCUUUCAGAGGGGGAUAACGUCUGGAAACGGACGCUAAUACCGCAUAACAUUCUGAGGUCGCAUGGCUUUAGAAUCAAAGGAGCAAUCCGCUGAGAGAUGGGCUCGCGUCCGAUUAGCCAGUUGGUGAGGUAACGGCCCACCAAAGCAACGAUCGGUAGCCGGACUGAGAGGUUGAACGGCCACAUUGGGACUGAGACACGGCCCAGACUCCUACGGGAGGCAGCAGUGGGGGAUAUUGCACAAUGGAGGAAACUCUGAUGCAGCGACGCCGCGUGAGGGAAGAAGGUCUUCGGAUUGUAAACCUUUGUCCUUGGUGACGAUAAUGACGGUAGCCAAGGAGGAAGCUCCGGCUAACUACGUGCCAGCAGCCGCGGUAAUACGUAGGGAGCGAGCGUUGUCCGGAUUUACUGGGUGUAAAGGGUGCGUAGGCGGCUCUGCAAGUCAGGUGUGAAAACCAUCGGCUUAACUGAUGGACUGCAUUUGAAACUGUGGGGCUUGAGUGGAGUAGAGGCAGACGGAAUUCCCGGUGUAGCGGUGAAAUGCGUAGAGAUCGGGAAGAACACCAGUGGCGAAGGCGGUCUGCUGGGCUCUAACUGACGCUGAGGCACGAAAGCAUGGGUAGCAAACAGGAUUAGAUACCCUGGUAGUCCAUGCCGUAAACGAUGAUUACUAGGUGUGGGGAGUCUGACCCUCUCCGUGCCGGAGUUAACACAAUAAGUAAUCCACCUGGGAAGUACGACCGCAAGGUUGAAACUCAAAAGGAAUUGACGGGGGCCCGCACAAGCAGUGGAGUAUGUGGGUUUAAUUCGAAGCAACGCGAAGAACCUUACCAGAUCUUGACAUCCCAACUAAUCCUGUAGAAAUAUGGGAGUGCCCUUCGGGGAAAGUUGAGACAGGUGGUGCAUGGUUGUCGUCAGCUCGUGUCGUGAGAUGUUGGGUUAAGUCCCGCAACGAGCGCAACCCUUGUGAUUAGUUGCUACGCAAGAGCACUCUAAUCAGACUGCCGUUGACAAAACGGAGGAAGGUGGGGACGACGUCAAAUCAUCAUGCCCCUUAUGAUCUGGGCUACACACGUACUACAAUGGCCAUCAACAAAGGGAAGCAAAGCCGCGAGGCGGAGCAAAUCCCCAAAAAUGGUCCCAGUUCGGAUCGCAGGCUGCAACCCGCCUGCGUGAAGCCGGAAUUGCUAGUAAUCGCGGAUCAUCAUGCCGCGGUGAAUACGUUCCCGGGCCUUGUACACACCGCCCGUCACACCAUGGGAGCCGGUAAUACCCGAAGUCGGUAGUCUAACCGCAAGGAGGGCGCCGCCGAAGGUAGGAUUGGCGACUGGGGUGAAGUCGUAACAAGGUAGCC
rnacentral:rRNA from 1 species